rnacentral:siRNA from 1 species
CCCUUUGUCGCUAAGAUUCGAC